rnacentral:rRNA from 1 species
CCUACGGGCGGCAGCAGUGAGGAAUAUUGGUCAAUGGGCGUAAGCCUGAACCAGCCAAGUCGCGUGAGGGAUGAAGGUUCUAUGGAUCGUAAACCUCUUUUAUAAGGGAAUAAAGUGUGGGACGUGUCCUAUUUUGUAUGUACCUUAUGAAUAAGGAUCGGCUAACUCCGUGCCAGCAGCCGCGGUAAUACGGAGGAUACGAGCGUUAUCCGGAUUUAUUGGGGUUAAAGGGUGCGUAGGCGGCCUUUUAAGUCAGCGGUGAAAGUCUGUGGCUCAACCAUAGAAUUGCAGUUGAAACUGGGGGGCUUGAGUGUGUGUGAGGCAGGCGGAAUGCGUGGUGUAGCGGUGAAAUGCUUAGAUAUCACGCAGAACCCCGAUUGCGAAGGCAGCCUGCCAAGCCAUGACUGACGCUGAUGCACGAAAGCGUGGGGAUCAAACAGGAUUAGAUACCCCUGUAGUC